rnacentral:lncRNA from 1 species
AACAACAUGGAGGUGGAGGUCCUAGGGAUUCAAUUUUGGAUUAUGGGGAAAACGAAUUGAAGAAAUCUCAAAUCUAAGAAAACGGAAGAAAAAGGAGGACACCCCAAUACAGUUAUUUACUUAUUUUGUUUUUAACAGAGAUUUAGUUUUAUAUUUGGUUUUAAUAAAUUAUAAUGAAGGGUAAUAUUAGAAAAUAAUUAAUUGCUGGGUUUACUUAGUCAUUUACUGAGUACAUCUAGGAGCACCCAAAUAAUACCCUAAUGUCAUUCGCAUCAGCGAUUCGCAUCCUCCCAUUCUCU